rnacentral:lncRNA from 10 species
UGUGUGCCCUUAUAGAUUAGUGCCCUGGGCAAGGGCCCAGCUGACUGACCCUUAAUCCUGGCCUAGUCAAGAUCUUACAGUUCUACCUGUUAUUUGGGAAAGGUGAAGAUUGUUCUUGCUAAAAUUAGCAAUAUUUUAGUAAAAUUAGCUAAUAUUUCUUAGCUAUAAUCAGUUGAAUCCAAUCUUUUAAAUUUGCUACCUAAGUAAGCCCUUCAGAAUAUCAGCAUUUUUUAUUGUUAUCAUGGCUAGAAAUCAAGCUUCAAAAACAAACAAACAAACAAACAAACAAAACUGUGUUUUUGCCAAAAUCUAAGUUAACAUUUAAAGUCAAAGAAAAUUGCUUCUCUAAGGAUUGGUUAAAUGAAUGAAUCAACCAAAUUGUACUGUGGUUAAGUUUGUUUGCUUUAUUUUGCAUUUAAUUUACAUUCCUGAGCAGGUUGUAAAUGGCCUCUUAGGGUAGCUGUUAAGGAGCUUUAUUCACUAAUAUGGACUGCCAGGGGAUCUGUGGGACUCUGUUCUACAUAGGUCAAUGCUAAUGGGUGCACAAAGGCAAAGGCAGCAAUGACGGCUGGAGGGUUGGUGCCUUGUUAAAUACCACAAGAGGAGGCAAGGAUAGUGGAACAGCCAAGGUCAAAGCCCAUGUAAAACCUCAGUAAGCUUAGUAGAUUUUUUGUUUGUUUGUUUGUUUGUUCUUGUUCAUUUGUUUGUUUCAAUUCCAAAACCACCAUUUCCAACAAGUGAAGCAAAGUUGGGUCUGGGGGAGGUUGGGAUAUCCAUCAGUUUCAAAGCAAUAGGUUUAUGACUAUUUAUGUCUUUCUGGUAAUGAGCAGAGACUAGAUUAGAUAAAAUUGUCAAUUAUAUUUUGUUACCUCUUAAAGGAAAGUGAAGAGGGAGGAAAAAGAAGAUUACUUUAAUACCUGUUAGUACUAUGUAAUUGUGUCCAGUAUUCAUUAGGGCCAGGUGGAAUCUCAGGACUCUUCAAAUGACCCUAAAUCACCCCGAGGGUUCUUGGUACAAAAUCUGGAUGCUAUUUCUCUAGCCACACUUAAGAAUUCCCCAUUCUAAAAUGAGAUUGGUUUUGCUAGUAUAACCCAGAAAUCAGUUGCCAGCAUACUUAAGUCCUGCAGCCUACCAGGACUACCAUGCACUUCAAGAUUUUAAUAAAUCUGCUCUCAACCUCUUCUUAUUGUUUGGAGAGAAAACAAGCAUUCUACCAAAUAAUUAGGAGUACUUAAAGAUUUUAAGCUUUACUUUCACUAAAUUUUAUGCUUCUACUUUACAUUUAAUCACCAUUUCCUUUUCCAUGCUUAAUUAACCCCACUGAAAAAAAGUCUCAAUUUCUAAUACCUCAGAAUAUUAUAAAAAUAAGGCAGUGAUAUUAUACCAUUUCACUUCAUUUUUAAUUCAGCUUCAGUGGAACAAUUUUUCUCAUGAGUUAUAUUUUCAUGCUUCUUGCAGGUAUUGCAAUUUUUUUAGUUCAGUUGCCAGUGUGAAUUUAACCCUUUUAUGCCUAGAUAUUUUCAUAUUCUUGUGAAUAUUCUUGACUUUUGUUCUGCAUGUGGUUAUUUGGCAAGAGUUUGAUCCUUUUGGGCUUUAGUUUUAAUGUUAGACCAGAGAAGAACUAAGGCUAAUAUUUCUCCAACAAUGAGGCAAGAUUUUUGUUUUUAAGGUCUCAAUUUGUCACCCAGGCUGGAGUACAGUGGUAUCAUCACUGCAGCCUUGAAAUCUUGGGCCCAAGCAAGCCUCCCACCUCAGCUUUCCCCAUAGCUAGUACUUCUUGCCAAUGCCCUCUAAAUUAUGAGGUUUUCUAGUCUGGCUGUUGCAUAGAGGCACUGUUUUGAUCCUGGGUUCUGUUUUGACCCUGUGUGGUCUCUGAGUGUUGUUCCCUUGAAUCCUUCCACGUGGUUCUUUUCCUGAACUACCAUUCAUAUAUUGACCAGUAGUAUAAUGAACCCUUGAAGGGUUCUCACAUCUUGGGUACUCUGCCUUGUAAUUUCUAGCCGCUUUGGCCUUCCUGGACUUGCCGUUGCAUCUCAUCAAUUUAGGGAGACUGCAGAGUUCUGCCUGGGUUUCUUUUCUCUUCUUGCCAAGUCCCUAGAGAGUAAGCUGAGCAAUAUAAGGGCUCAAUUUAUUUGAUUUGUGACUGUCAAGGAUCACUGCCCUUUGUUGUCUGAUAACCAGUGUCUUAUGUAUCAUUGUUUCAGAUUUUUUUUUUACAGCAGCAAGAGAGAAAUAAAAGAACAAUAGAUCUACAAAACAAUCAGAAAAUAACUAACAAAUUGGCAAUAAAGCAAGAGAGAAAUAAAAGAAUAAUAGAUCUACAAAACAAAGAAAAGACUCACAUAAAUAAAGAAGACAUUGCAACUGAUACCACAGAAGGAAUCAUGAACCUAUUAGGAACAAUUACAUGCCAACAAAUUAGAUAACCUAGAAAAAAUGGAUAAAUUUCUAGACAAAUUCAAUUGACCAAGACUAAACUAUGAAGAAGUAGAAAAUCUGCACAGACUAAUAAUGAGUAAGAAUAUUGAAUAAAUGAUAUAAUGUCUCCCAUUAAAGAAAAGCCCAGAAAAUGAUGGCUUCCCUGUUAAAUUCUACCAAAUAUUUAAAGAAUUAGCACCAAAUAUUCUCAUUUUUUCCCAAAAAUUGAAGAGGAGAGAAUACUUUCAAAUUUAUUUUUCGCAGCCAAUAUUACCCUAUUAUCAAAGCCAGACAAGAACACCACAGGAAAAGAAAGUGCAGGCAAUAUCCUUGAGGAACAUAGAUGCAAAAAUUCUCAAUAAAAUACUAGUAAACAAAAUUCAAGAGCACAUUAAAAAGACAAUUCAUGAUAAUCAAGUGGGACUUAUCCCUGGGAUGCAAGGAUUGUUUGGCUUAUGCAAAGCUAUAAAUGUGAUACCACAUUAACAAAUAAAGGGCAAAAAAAAAUCAUCUCAAUAAAUGCAGAAAAAAAAGCACAAUUCAACAUCCUUUUAUGCUUAAAAGCUCUCAACAAAUUAGCUAUAGAAGAAAUGUACUUCAAUGCAAUAAAAGCCAUAUAUGAAAAGCCCACAGCUAACAUGAUACUCAAUGGUGAAAAGUUGAAAACGUUUCUUCCAAGAUCAGGAACAAGACAAGGAUGCCCACUCUUGCCAUUUCUAUUCAACAUAGUACUGGGAGUGGUAGCCAGAGCAAUUAGACAAGAGAAAUAAAUGAAACAUAUCCAAAUUAGAAAGGAGGAAGUUAAAUUGUCCCUGUUUGCAAGUGAAAUAACCUGAUAUAUGGAAAAUCCUAAAGACUCCACCAAAAAGCUGUUCAAACUAAUAAAAGAAUUCAGUAAAGUGGCAGGAUGCAAAAUUAACAUGAAAAAUCUGUAGCACUUCUAUACACUAGCAAUAAACUAUCUAAAAAGUAAAAUCAUGAAAACAAUCCCAUUUAUAGUAGCUACACAUGCAUGCACAUGAAAGCACACACACACACAAACAAGGAACAAGACAAGGGUGCCCAUUCUUGCCAUUUCUAUUCAACAUAGUACUGGAAAUAGUAGCCAGAGCAAUUAGACAAGAGAAAUGAAUGAAACGUAUCCAAAUUAGAAAGGAAAAAGUUAAAUUGUCCCUGUUUGCAGGUGAAAUAACCUGAAAUAUAGAAAAUCCUAAAGACUCCACCAAAAAGCUGUUUGAACUAAUAAUAGAAUUCAGUAAAGUGGCAGGAUGCAAAAUUAACAUGAAAAAUCAGUAGCACUUCUAUACACUAGCAAUAAACUAUCUAAAAAGUAAAUCAUGAAAACAAUCCCAUUUAUAGUAGCUACACAUGCAUGCACAUGCAAGCGCACACACACACAAACACCUGGGUACAAAUUUAGCCAAAGAGGUGAAAAACAUAUAAACUGAAAACUAUAAGACAUUGAAAGAAAUUGAAGAAGAUAAAUAAAUGCAAAGAUAUACCAUGUUCAUGGAUUAGAAAAAUUAUUAUUGUUAAAAUGUGUAUACUACUGAAAGCAAUCUACAGAAUCAAUGCAAUCUCUAUCAAAAUUACAAUGACAUUUUUCACAUAAAUAGAAAAAACAAUUAUAAAAUUUUUAUGGAACCACAAAAGGCCUUGAACAAUAAAAAAAUCUUGAGCAAAAAGAAUAAAGAUUGAGGCAUCACACUAUCUCACUUCAAAAUAUCCUACAAAGCUGUAGUAAUCAAAAGAUCAUAGUAUUAGCAUUAAAAACAGACACAUAGACCAGUGCAACAGAAUAGAGAGCCCAGAAGCAAACCCACGCAUUUACAGUCAAUUGACUUUUCAACAAAGGAGCCAAGAACAUACAAUAGGGAAAGGACAAUCUCUUCAAUAAAUGAUGUUGAGACAAUUGGAUAUCCACAUGCAGAAGAAUGAAAUUAGACCAUCACCUCACACCAUAUACAAAAAUCAUGUAAAAAUGGUUUAAAGACUUAAAGACCUGAAACUGUACAACUACUAGCUAAAAGCAUAUGGACAAAACUCUACAACAUUGGUGUGAGCAAUAAUUUUUUGGAUAUGACCUCAAAACUGUAGGCAAAAAUAGACAAAUGGGAUUACAGGAAGUUAAAAAGUUUCUGCAUGGCAAAGGCAACAGGCAACAGAGAAAAAGAUAACCUAUGAAAUGGAAGAAAAUAUAUGCAAACCGUACAUCUGAUAAGGAGUUAAUAUCCAAAAUAUAUAAAAAACUGAAAUAAUAUAAGGAAGACAAAUGGCCUCAUUUAAGAAUAGGCAAAGGACCUGAAGACAUUUUUCAAAAGAGGACAUACAAAUGGCUAACAUGAAUAUGAAUAAAUGCUCAACAUCACUAAUCAUCAAGAAAAUGCAAACUAAAACUACAAUGAGAUAUCACCUCUCACUUGUUAGAAUGGCUAUUAUCAAAUAGACAAAAUAUAACUAGUACUGUUGAGAAUGUGGAGAAUAGGUGACUCUCUCACAGUGUUGGUGAGACUAUGUACACCAGACCAUGUAACUGAAAUUACUUCAGCCACAAUGGAAAGCAAUAUGAAGGUUCCUUUAAAAAUUAAAAUUAGAAUAACCAUAUGAUCCAGCAAUCCCUCCACUGGGUAUGUAUGAAAUUAAAUCACGAAUCAAAAAGGAAACUAAAUCGGUGUGUAUAGCUACACUGUCAUGUUCUUUGCAGCAUUAUUCACAAUAGCCAAGGUAAAGAAUCAAACUAAAAAUGUCCAUCAAGAGAUGAAUGAAUAAAGAAAAUAUAGUAUAUAUACAGAAUAAAAUACUGUUCAACCUUAAAAAUCAAGGAAAUCCUGUUUUGACAAGAUGUAUGAAUCUAGAAGACAUUAUGUUAAGUGAAAUAAGCCAGAUACAGAAGGACAAAUACCACAUGAUCUCAUUUACAGGUGGAAUCUUAAAAAGUUAAACUCAUAGAAGCAGAAAGUAGAAUGGUGGUUACCAGGGACUGAGUUUUGGGGUGGUUGGAAAGAUGCUGGUCAAAGAAUAUAAAAUUUCAGAUAGACGGGAGGAAUAAGUUCAAGAGCUCUUUUAUGCAACAUGGUGACUAUAGUUAAUAACAAUGUACUGUAUUCUUGGAAAAUUAGUAAAAGAACAGAUUUUAAGUGUUCUUACCAUAAAAAAUGAUAUAUAAGUUAAUGUUUAGGUUGCUCUGUCUAUGGAGUAGCCAUUCUUUUGUUUCUUCACUUCUCUAAUAAACUUGCUUUCACUUAAAAAAAAAGUUAAUGCUUACGUUAAUUAGAUCAAAGUAACCAUUCUGCAAUGUAUGCAUAUUUCAAAGCAUCAUGUUGUAAAUGACAAAUAUAUAUACUUUGUAUUUGUCAAUUUAAAAAAAUAAUUAAUUAAUUUUAAAAAAGAGAAACUGGCAGGACAUCCAGAAUCCUUCCUUUGUUUGUGUACUAGACCAAAUUCCCAGAAGAACUGUAGAGAUUUAAUAAAGGAUAUCUGAAUAAAGUUGGAGAUGGAACUACUGUACUAAACAUAGGGAUGUUAAGAAAACUAGAAGUAUUUGGGAGUACUGAGGAUAAUUGGGAUUUUUGUACUCUUAACUAACCUCACUGUUGCUUUCUCUCAUCUGUGCCAAAGCAUUAGCCAGCCUUUACAUCAUUUUUAUGUGUAAAAAUUAUGUACUGCUGAAAUAAUAGUGCAUAUUUAUUAAGUUUUUAUUAUUACAUGACUUUUUAUAUUAAAGGUGAUAACUACUUCAUUAUUUUAAAAUCUGCUUACCUAUUUAUCACUGAUUCUUUUUUGAAAAUGUUCUCACAGAUAUGUCAAACAUUAGGCAACACUAUUCCAAAGGCUCAAUUACUUCAAAUCAUCUAUCAAUCCCCUGGUGUUCCAUUUUUGUUUUGUUUGCUUGUUCUAAUUGAAGAUCUGACUCUGACAGAUCUUUAUUUCUUGCUUCAAUCUAGACUAUUAGGUUUUUAGGGUUAAGUCACAGUAGUCAUGCUGGAAUGUCCCUUUUUUCCUCUCUUGUAUAGAAGACAAAGUUUCUCAAAUCCCCUGUCUCCCUUGUUCCUGAUUUACUACUUCAUUUUUCAUGAAUUAUAUAUCGUGGUAGCUUCCAAGGAAAGAGUAAUAGGAAGCAUGUUUUUGUGAAUUAUUGCAGAUCUGAAAAUGUCUUUAUUCAAUCCUCACAUUUCAGUGAUACUAUACCUUGCUUGGGUAUAAAAUUAUAGGCUGAAAAUAAUUUUCAAUCAGAAUUUUUAAUACUAUUGUUAUAUAUCUUUCGGUUUUUCGUGUUACUAGUCUAAUAUUUAUGUUGUGAGUUUUAAAAAAUCUGCCCUUUAAACCCCGGUCUCCUGAAACUUCAUGAUAAUAUGCCUUUGAAUAUUAUAUUAUUUCAUUAAUUUUUUCUGGGAAUUCAAUGGGAUCUUUUAAGUUAAAGACAUAAGCCCUUACACUUUGGAGAUAUUUUUGAUCAUAUCUUGAUCAUUUUCUUUCCUCUUUUUAUACUCUCUUUCUCUCUCUAAAAUUUGUACUUGUUGGAUGUCGAACCACCUACAUUAAUCUAUAUUUAUAAUUUCUUUGUUCUUAUUUUCCACAUAGUUUAUAGAUUUUCCUGACUUCUAAUGAUUUAUUUUUUACUGUAAUUUACUCUAUUUUGCAGUGCCCUUUUUUCUCUGAUUGCUUUUUAAAAAUAGUUCCCUCUUCUUGUUUUAUAUAUGUAUUAUUUGACCUGUUCAUAUGUUUUAAUUGGGUCCCAUUUUCAUAAAUAUUUUAGUCACUCUUUGUCAUGAGAAAGAAUUUUGUAUCACAUACAUUACCUCUUCAGGAAACAUCUGUAUAUACUAUCAAAUUACAAAACACUUACUAGAAGCUCUGGGUGGUGGGGGAGAUGCUUGAGGUGUAGGACAAGGUCCAACUAGUUGACUUUACUUAGAGUGAACUCCUAUACAUCUCAAGCAACUCCUAAAUCUCUAGAGGUCUAUAUCUGGGGCCUUUCAAAAACAAUUUUUACACAGAUUAUCCUCCAAUUUUCUUCAGGAAAAAUUAAACAUGGCAAUAAGUAUUCUCAAAACAGAGCAGAGGAAAGGGCUGUGGGUAGUAUAGGGGAUGUGUGUAGAACAAUUUAAUCACCUUGUUCUACCCUAAACCAAUUUCUUGGUGUUCACUGCUUCCUGAAUCAACUUCUCCAGAGACUAGACUUCUCUUUUCUCUUAGUGUGUAUUUGUGGAGGGGUAAAGAGAUUCUCAAACAGUCUCUGAGUGUUCAGUCUUAAACUGACUUCUGCUUUCCAGGUAACCUGUUUCCCCACAAUCAGAGACUCUCAGGGGAUUUGUGAGGUAAGAAAGCCCACUUGCCAUUAGAAGCCCCUCUGUGUGAUGAAUUAGUUUUUGUCAUUUUCUGCUUUGCUAUGUCUGUUACCUCUCCUCCAUCUUAUUCCACUUUCUAAUAUAUUGCUGUAAGGAUUUUUCUGAUGUUAUAUUUUCUGUUUUUCUCUUUGUUCUCAUUAAUUAACAAAAUUUCUAUUUUUAAUUAAUUUUUGUGGUGUUUGGGAGGGAAAGGAUGUGAUUACCUAUGAUCAGACCAUUACAUUUAACCGAGUCAGCAAAUACAUUUUUAAAUAUUUCUAGAUAUGUGUUAAUUUCUUAUCAUUCUGUUUUCUCACCAUAGAUACUAAAUGAACAUGAUGCAAAAUGAACAACACAUAAGUUUCUGAGAGAAAAGUCCUCAUGCUGAGAAAGUUAAGAAAUCCUUAGUAACACGGGGUUCUGAGUGAAGAAUUACUAAAGGAGAUUCUAGAAAUCCUUGGUAGAAUCUGAACUGUCAAAGGACUAAAUUGAACAAUUACUGCUCUCCCACUAUUGCAAAGCCAUUUCCUAUAGUUGCUGCCACAAGCUAGAACUUCAUCCUGGGCAUGAUUCAACCCCUAAUUUGCAAAUUUAUAACAGCUCUUGGCUACUAAGCAUGGUUUUCUUCUAUAGACCAUACUUCAAUAAAAUACUGUUACAAAUAACAGAUGGACAAUGCAUUCAUUUGUAGAUGGUUCCUUGUAAUAAUAAUUUAUUAACUUUUUUCUUUCUUAGGGCAGAAGUAGCAAACAUUAAACUAAAUUGCCUAUAGCAUAAAUGGAAGGAACUUUUUAAGCAGGUGGGAAUUUAUUUAGACUUCUUCAUUUAAUGUGGC